rnacentral:rRNA from 1 species
AGCGGCGGACGGGUGAGUAACACGUGGGUAACCUGCCCAAGAGACUGGGAUAACACCUGGAAACAGAUGCUAAUACCGGAUAACAACACUAGACGCAUGUCUAGAGUUUGAAAGAUGGAUCUGCUAUCACUCUUGGAUGGACCUGCGGUGCAUUAGCUAGUUGGUAAGGUAACGGCUUACCAAGGCAAUGAUGCAUAGCCGAGUUGAGAGACUGAUCGGCCACAUUGGGACUGAGACACGGCCCAAACUCCUACGGGAGGCAGCAGUAGGGAAUCUUCCACAAUGGACGAAAGUCUGAUGGAGCAACGCCGCGUGAGUGAAGAAGGGUUUCGGCUCGUAAAGCUCUGUUGGUAGUGAAGAAAGAUAGGGGUAGUAACUGGCCUUUAUUUGACGGUAAUUACUUAGAAAGUCACGGCUAACUACGUGCCAGCAGCCGCGGUAAUACGUAGGUGGCAAGCGUUGUCCGGAUUUAUUGGGCGUAAAGCGAGUGCAGGCGGUUCAAUAAGUCGGAUGUGAAAGCCUUCGGCUCAACCGGAGAAUUGCAUCAGAAACUGUUGAACUUGAGUGCAGAAGAGGAGAGUGGAUCUCCAUGUGUAGCGGUGGAAUGCGUAGAUAUAUGGAAGAACACCAGUGGCGAAGGCGGCUCUCUGGGCUGCAUCUGACGCUGAGGCUCGAAAGCAUGGGUAGCGAACAGGAUUAGAUACCCUGGUAGUCCAUGCCGUAAACGAUGAGUGCUAAGUGU